UAGUAUUAUAAUUAUUGCUUUAAGAACUCUUAUGUUUUAAAAAGGAAUAGAAGAAAAGAGAAAAAACCAGUCUUUUGUGUUUACCUUCCUACUUACUGUUUCCAGUGUUCUUCAUUCUUUCCUGUGAAUUCAAGUUACCAUCCAGUGUAAUUUCCUUUUGGCCCAAAGGAUUUUCUUUAGUCUUUCUCAGACAGCUCUGCCAGUAAUUAAUUCUCUCAGUUUUUGUUUAUCUAGGAAUGUCUUAUUCUGCCUCUAUUUUUGAAAGGGUUUUGCUGAAUAUGAAAUUCUUAGUUGACAUAUGUAUUUUUUUUCCUUUCAGCAUGUUCAAUGUUAUUCUUCUGCCUUGUGGCCUCCAUUGUUUCUGAUGAGAAGUCAUCAUUCAUUCUAUUUUUGUAUUUCCCUUUUUAUAAUAAGUUAUUUUUCUCUUUCAGCAGUUUGACUCUGAUGUGUAAAAAUGUAGAUUUCUUUUCUUUUUUUUUUGAGAUAGAGUCUCGCUCUGUCACCAGGCUGAAGUGCAGUGACAUGAUCUUGGCUCACUGCAGCCUCUGCCUCCCGGGUUCAAGCAAUUCUCCUGCCUCAGCCUCCCAAGUAGCUAGGACUACAGGUGUGCACUGCUACGCUUGGCUAAUUUUUUUGUAUUUUUAGUAGAGAUGGGGUUUCACCAUGUGGGCUAGGAUGGUCUUGAUUUCCUGACCUCGUGAUCCACCCGCCGUGGCUUCCCAAAGUGCUGGGAUUACAGGCAUGAGCCACCGUGCCUGGCAUGUGUAGAUUUCUUUAGUUUUAUCCUAUAUGGGAUUUAUUGAGCUUCUUGGGUCUGUAGAUUAAUUUUUUCAUCAACUAUAGGAGGUUCUCAGCCAUUAUUUUUCAAAAAAAAUUUUUUUCCUGCCACAUUGUCUCUCUUCUCCUUCUAGGACUCUUAUUCCAUGUAUAGUAUAUUGGUAUUCUUGAUAUUGUCCCACAAGUCACUUAGGCUGUGUUCAUUUUUCUUCAGUCUUUUUUUUCUUUUUUCACGUUGGAUAAUUUCUGUAGAUCUGUCUUUAAGUACACUGCCUUUUUUCUUCCAUCAUCUCAAACCCAUUGUUGAAUCCAUGUAGUGCAUUUUUUAUUUCAGUAGUUGUACUUUUCUUUUUUUUUUAAAAAAGGAGUUUCACUGUUGUCGCCCAGGCUGGAGUGCAAUGGUGCAAUCUCAGCUCACUGCAACCUCUGGUCCCUGGGUUCAAGUGAUUCUCCUGCCUCAGCCUCUUGAGUAGCUGGGACUACAGGCACGUGCCACCACACCCAGCUAAUUUUUGUAUUUUUAGUAGAGAUGGAGUUUCACCAUGUUGGCCAGGAUGGUCUCGAUCUCUUGACCUCGUGAUCCACCUGCCUUGGCUUCCCAAAGUGCUGGGAUUAUAGGCAUGAGUCAUUGUGCCCUGCCAGUUGUUGAACUUUUCAACUGUAGAGUUUGAUACUUAUUGAAAGUUUCAGUUUCUUCAUUGAUAUUCUUUAUUUGUUGAGUCAUUGGUGUCAUAUAUUCAUUUAAUUCUAGGAACAUUUGUUUCCUUUACUUUUUUUUUUUUUUUUUUGGGAUGGAGUCUCACACUGUCACCUAGGCUGGAGUGCAGUGGCAUGAUCUUGGCUCACUGCAAGCUCUGCCUUCUGGGUUUACACCAUUCUCCUGCCUCAGCCUCCUGAGUAGCUGGGACUACAGGUGCCUGCCACCACGCCCGGCUAAUUUUUUUUUGUAUUUUUAGUGGAGACCGGGUUUCACCAUGUUAGCCAGGAUGGUCUCGAUCUCCUGACCUUGUGAUCUGCCCACCUCGGCCUCCCAAAGUGCUGGGAUUACAGGCAUGAGCCAUUGCGCCUGGCCUACUUUAGUUUUUUUGAACAGAAUUUUCUUUAAUUCUUGGCUCAUAUUCAUAAUGGCUGCUUUGAUGUCUUUGCUAAAUUGAAUAUCUUGGCCCACUUAGACUUCAUUUUCCUUGACUGAUUUCCCCCACCUUGAUUAUAGGUCACUUUCUUGUUUCUUUGCAUAUCCUAUAUUUUUUUUGUUGUUGAAAUCUUUUUGAUAAUAUCUUGUAGUAUCUCUGGAUUCUGAUUUACUUUUUGAAGUGUUUGUUUGUUUUUUGGUAACUAGCUUGCUCUUAGCCAGUUAGCACAUAUCUCCCUAUGAUAUGUGUCUAUAGAUAUCUCUGCUCAAUUUUUGUGUGCUUAUUUAUUUUUUGGCCUGGCUUCCUAGGUGCUGCUCCUAUGUCCAUAUAGCUUAGUGGUGAGCCAAUGA
rnacentral:lncRNA from 1 species